AACGAACGCUGGCGGCAGGCUUAACACAUGCAAGUCGAGCGCCCCGCAAGGGGAGCGGCAGACGGGUGAGUAACGCGUGGGAAUCUACCCAUCUCUACGGAAUAACGCAUGGAAACGUGUUCUAAUACCGUAUACGUCCUUCGGGAGAAAGAUCUAUCGGAGAUGGAUGAGCCCGCGUUGGAUUAGCUAGUUGGUGGGGUAAAGGCCUACCAAGGCAACGAUCCAUAGCUGGUCUGAGAGGAUGAGCAGCCACACUGGGACUGAGACACGGCCCAGACUCCUACGGGAGGCAGCAGUGGGGAAUAUUGGACAAUGGGCGCAAGCCUGAUCCAGCCAUGCCGCGUGAGUGAUGAAGGCCCUAGGGUUGUAAAGCUCUUUCACCGGUGAAGAUAAUGACGGUAACCGGAGAAGAAGCCCCGGCUAACUUCGUGCCAGCAGCCGCCGUAACAC
rnacentral:rRNA from 1 species